GUUUUACUUCCCGGACGUGCUGCAGAGACACACGGGGAAGUUCAGCACCAUCUGGCUGGUCGCGACCAAAGCCGGGAAGGUGACAAAGCGAGAUUAUUUGAAAGUGAAUGUGGUGAGAACAUGCGAGGAGAUCAUCAGAUACAUCGUGGUGCAGGUCCGGCCCCCCUACCCCAGCACCUCCCGGCCCCGCUUCUCCCUCUACCUCUCGGCCCAGCUGGAGAUCGGGGUGGUCCGCGUCUACCACCGGCAGUGUA